UGAACUGCAUCCAAAGGAAAUUUGGAUAAACCGCUGUCCGAAUCCAUAAGUCUCACCAUGAUGUCCGCGUAACGUAUAUAUCUGAACUUGGGUAUACGGUGAAAUCCAACCUCUUGGGAGGAUGGGUGAUAUGGAUAAAUUCAGAGCA
rnacentral:ribozyme from 1 species